CGAUGAUAUCGCCAGUAAAAGUGACGUUUUUUGCAUUUUUCACGCACAAACAGCAUUACACGGACAAUAUUAUUGCUGUGAUACUUUUUACUGUUUUGAAGUCUCCCGAGUACAACAGUACCCCUCAUGUACAGGUUUUGUGGUGUUUUCAAAAGUUACAGCGUCAAAUAUAAGGCUUGCGUUUCAUUUUUUUCACAUUAAAAUUUGCCAGAUUGGUUAUGUUGCCUUUGAGACCCUAUGGUAG